UAUUGGUCUUGUCAAUGUAGGAUGAAAUAUCAUAUUUUUAUGAACUAUUACAUUUUCCGUGUGAAUUUAUUAUUAAAACAGUAAUUUUCCACACCUAAUUACUAUUGUUUAAAUUUUGGUUGUGUGCCGCUUACACAUAAAAAUGUUUAUACGCACGGCCUGCCAGCCAAUUAGAGGCCCAUAUCAAUUCAAGUAAAUUUUGAUUGAACAGUUGAAAACCUUUUUCUUCUAAAAUGGAAUGAUCGGAACUGGGUUACGUCUAUAUGAAGAUAGGCGAAAUUUGACAGUGCUAGCUGUAAAUAUGUAGUUUAGCGGUAAAAUUGCUCCAAGGAGUGAUUUUAUAUUAAUUCUUCUUCAAGAUGCCACGUAAAUGUAAUGUGUGAAUAACUUUUGCUAUGUUUGCGGUGAAGUGACUUUUGCUUCUCAGAAACAUGAAUUGACUUCAUUAGUAAAGACAGCAUAUUACCAUUACUGUGUCUGUAAAAUAGAUGAGGGUAAACCUUGGGUUACCAAUAUUUGCUGUAAUUCAUGUGCAGUAAACCUCCGUUGUUGGUUAAAGGAAACAGUAAAGUCAAUGCCAUUUGCAGUUUCCAUGACAUGGCGAUAACUUACAAGUCAUAUCACUGAUAGUUAUUUCUGUAUUGUGCCUCCUCUUAAACAUGGAAAACAGACCAUCACAUAUCCAACUUCGACAUCGGCAACACGACCGGUACCACAUGGAGAAGGUCUGCCUGUCCCUAUCCCUCCGGAACAUUAUGUCCUAGAAUCUAAUGAAGACAUGGAAUGAGAAUACAAACAACAGCCUGAGUCUUUACAGCAAGUCUCAAAAUUAUACGCCAGAAUGGAUCUCGCCCAGUAGGCCACUUAAAAUUACUCAAUAAAACUUGAUGAUUUUGUUCGUGAUCUGGAGUUACCAAAAAGCAAGGCCGAACUUCUUGCCUCCAGGCUUUGGCAGUGGAAUCUCCUGGCAAAAAGUGUGAAAGUGUGUGUUCAUGGACAUCGAGAAAGAAUCUCGAUGCCAUUCUUUGAAAUGGAAAACCUUGUUGCCUGCAAUGACGUAAAUGGUCUGAUGGCAUAUUUGAGAAUGAAGCAUAAUUCCUAGCACUGGAGACUUUUCAUUGACUCCUCCAAGUUAAUUUGAAAGCUGUUGUGCUACACAAUGGAAACACACUACCAUCUGUUCCUGUAGGUCAUGCUGUAAAUGUGAAGGAGAGCUAUGAAAAUGUAAAAUUUCUUCUUAAAAAAAUAAAUUACUAAGACUAUCAA